rnacentral:rRNA from 1 species
ACCGUACUCCUACGGGAGGCAGCAGUGGGGAAUUUUGGACAAUGGGGGCAACCCUGAUCCAGCAAUGCCGCGUGAGUGAAGAAGGCCUUCGGGUUGUAAAGCUCUUUUGUCAGGGAAGAAACGGUAGUAGCUAAUAUCUAUUACUAAUGACGGUACCUGAAGAAUAAGCACCGGCUAACUACGUGCCAGUAGCCGCGGUAAUACGUAGGGUGCAAGCGUUAAUCGGAAUUACUGGGCGUAAAGCGUGCGCAGGCGGUUGUGUAAGUCAGAUGUGAAAUCCCCGGGCUCAACCUGGGAAUUGCAUUUGAGACUGCACGGCUAGAGUGUGUCAGAGGGGGGUAGAAUUCCUCGUGUAGCAGUGAACUGCGUAGAUAUGUGGAGGAAUACCGAUGGCGAAGGCAGCCCCUGGGAGAACACUGACGCUCAUGCACGAAAGCGUGGGGAGCAAACAGGAUUAGAAACCCCGGUAGUCCUUGAC